UGUUUAUUUAAAUCGACGAGGCGGGAUACACGUCACCGUAGACCUCCUCACGGACUCACCGUCUGGUUUCGGUGCCACCGAUUCUCUCCGAGCGGCUCUCCAGAAUCCACCAAGCAGUCGUUGCAGCGGUGGACUGCCGUGGACUUCUCGGCCUAACUAAGUUGUUUCCAUUAAUUUUCCAGUUUAUAAAUUUUAUCUUCUUGUUUGGCUAGAUAUGUUAGGGAGUUAGAUCUGGGUCAUGAUAUAUGGGCUCUCAUCUUGAUUUGUGAAGCUAUUAAACUUAUUGUGAUGUCCAAACAUUCUUGGGUUGAAAGAGAAGGUCAUCGCUUGUUUAUUUGUAGAUUGGUGUUAUUCCUCUGAGCAUUUCUCUUAGAAUUUGGUCUCAGCCAUUUUGCAAGCUAGGCCCACUGACUGACUCUAUUUCUCUCUCGAUUUUGAUGGUGAAACAGUUGUGUGAUGCUGGAACUGUAGUUUGUUGGGAACUCUGCAGAGGUUAAAUCUUCAAUUUCUUGGCUGCUUGUAUUAGGGAUGUACUCGUAGAAAUUAAUAGGGUUGUUCUAAAAGUUGCUGUUUAUGUUACAGAUAUUGUUAUUGGUAUUUAUACUUCGGAAUGCACAUAUUUGCUAUGUGGAAUUCUUCUCUUGCAUUCCAUGUUUCAUCUUACCUCUCGGGUGCCCAAAAUUGAACAGGUUAUCGGAAGUCAAACUGUAUUAUCUAUCAUCGUAUCAAGCAGACGACACUGGUCUAAUUUUUAUAUUGCUUGAUGAUGUGAAGAUAUCAGAACAACUGAUUGACCUGGUCUUCUAUCUGCUAGUUCUACUUGGUCCAUACAGACAUGAAUCUCACACCAUACCCAAUGGCAUGGUUCUUCUUCAUUCGGCUCUGGUAGCUUGUAUUAUAAAAUUGUUUCUCCACACUACCAAGAGGUUGCUCAAGCAUUGACUGCAUAUUACAAGGUAGCAAUCCAGGAUUUGGUGAAAACUAAGAACAUUAAAUUACUUGUUUAAUGGUGGACAUAUUCAUAGAGGCAGAAUUUGCUGCUGUUUGUGUAGAUGUCAAGUUUCUGCAGACCAACGAUUCAUUUGGAAGUGCUUUCCCUACUACUGAAGAGACCUUGAAUCACCUCUGCCAGAGUGUGAUUCUUCUCUUCAAUUUCUACAGUCCUUGUGUCAGCAAAAGUUGUUCCCGGAAUGCAUUGUGAAUAACAAGAUUUUAUCCUUUCAUCUGAUUAGAGUUUUCACUGCCUGAAAGCAUUGACAUUUCUUUAAAAUGUCAAAUGUGGUGAAUACAUGUUUCUGCUCCAGGGAACUUGAGCUGGAAUUUCUAUUUUGUAUACAUGUUUCUGCUCCAGGGACUUUAUUUAUUUCUGUCCAAGUGAGAUAGUAAGAGAUUCCAUAAUCAGCUUGAUUUACUUAUGUGGCUGCAGCUUUAUCUGAUGCAUGUUGAUCUGUUGCACCUUUGUGAAGCUGAAAGUGUAUCCUACCUGGAAGAGGUGGCCAGCAAAACAUCAACUCAGGAUGUGGCAAAGUCUGUUGGACUCAAGGUUCUUGCGUUGCUAAAAAAAAUGUUUAAUGCUCCCUCUGAGGCAAGCUACCCGAGGGGCAACUGGAACUUAAUGCAAUGCGCUUGGCAGAUGUCUUGUCAGAUGAUUCAAAUUUUCUGUCAUUCAUCAUGAUAAACUUUAUGAGAAGGAUCUGUCAACAAGCUCGUUCGGUUCUUAUGGAAGGACUAUCAGAAACUGUCAGAUGGAUUCUUCUCUCUACUUCAAAGCUGACAAAGUUCACUAUUAAGUCAUGAUUUUUGAAUGAAGAUGAUGUACAACUGCUGAGGUAAUUUCAAUAUAGGUAAUCUUCUUCGUGGGUUAUUUAUAAGUCAUUUUGUGUCCCGGAUCGUUCGUGCUGCAUCUGAAGAUCAUUUAGUCCAUGACUAGCUUCGUAUAUUGGACUCUCGGCCCAGAUGAAAAAAAGAGUAGCCCAAUGCUACAUUUUUUCCGGAAUAAGCUUCAUAAAAAAGGAGUUUUAAUGCAGAAAAGGAAGGUAGGAAGGUAGUUUUACAAGCAAGUAGUUUUCCCAUACGUAUUCGAGGAUUCUGGUAACUCUCCAUCAAAUCCUAGUCUUUGAGGAUUCUGGGCUUCAGCAUCAGAAGCUCAGGACUAGAUAUCUUUUUAUUAUAAAUAACUUGUCCACUGCAAAUGUUGAGGCUAAAGCUAAAGAGUUUAUUGAAAUUUUGAAUUUUAUACUAUCCGUCCAUGUUUGGAACAGGCUCCAGCAUCAGAAGCUCAGGACUAGAUAUCUGGUUUGCGUUGUAUAUAGUUAUGGAGAGGGAGAGAUUUAGCUUGACACUACAUUCCUUACCUUAAAUAGUUCUCUGGAUGCAAUUUACCUUUGGAGUUACACUUUCUGUUUGGCAUUUUGAAAUAUUUUGAAAUAAAAUUGAAACAUUUGAACAGAGAUAUUGUGCAAGCCAUUUAUGUAAACUGCAAGGUUUGAUUUUUCUACUUACUUUAUUCAUUUUGGAAAGCCGGUUUUUAUUCUUGGUAUUUGUACUAUGUCUAGGUUCUGUUUUAAACAGAACUUGUAAAAUCUAGUGUGGAAGAACUAUCACUGCUGAAAAUUUAGGAAGCUGGCUUGGGAAGAUUACUAUUGGAAAAAAUCAAGUUCUAAGGGAACGAGUGAUAGAUUCUUUUUUUCGUCUGUUUUGUUUUUGAGUUUACUUCAUAAACUUGGAGUUGGGUUGUCUGAAAUCCUCAUGUUGCAAUAAAUAUUAUUAUCUCAUCUUCUUGAUUCAAAUUUUUUUCUGACACAUGGAAGUAUAUUAUUUGUUGAAUGCUUUUAAGGGACUCAGGAUGCCUGUUGGUCCUUUUACCUCAAAGGUACGAUCCAUGGUUUAUUUUUUAUGUACUUGCGAGUCCAAGUUUAUUUCAACUCAAAAUGUGUUUGUUUUAGAUUUUCAAAGCCUGUUCAAACAGCAUUGCAUACUGGUAAUCUCAAAUUUAAGAUUGAAGUAAUUCUGUAUAAACAUAUCUGGUUAAUCUUUGUUUUGGAUUCCAAAUCAUAAAUUUUGGACAAUUUUCUUUGUUGAUAUCUCUUUGGUUUCAGGUUCUGUUUAAGCAUUUAAGUGUUGACCUCAAGGAUGUCACACCCUCUUCUCUUCUAAAGGAUGUAGUUUGACAAUUUGAAGGAUCAGUCAUUAAGCAUCAACUUGUUACUCACCUUAUGCUGGGCAUUGCUUUACGAGCUAUUUCAGUUGCUCAUACUGAACCUGAUGUUGGCCAUAGUACUAAUCACCGACCCGGUCUUAUUCAAUCUUCUGCUCCACAGAUUGAGAUUGCAGGCUCACCAUUUUCUCUGAUCGGACCCGGCAGCAUAUUGUCUGGAUUAGCAAUUCCCUCUUUGAGAUCCCACUACAACAGAGACCACCAAGUUCUCUAGAUGAGAGUGGACUCCUAAUUUCAUGAAGCCAACACAAUACACCUACCCUU